CCUACGGGGGGCAGCAGUGGGGAAUAUUGCACAAUGGGGGAAACCCUGAUGCAGCGACGCCGCGUGAGGGAUGAAGUAUCUAUGUAUGUAAAGCUUUAUCAGCCGGGAAGAAGCAAGACGGUAGCUGACUAAGAAGCCCCGGCUCACUAGGAGCCAGCAGCCCCGGGAAUACGCAGGGGGCAAGCGUUAUACGGAUUUACUGGGUGUAAAGGGAGCGUAGGCGGUAUGGCAAGUCUGAAGGGAAAGCCCAGGGCUUAACCCUGGGACUGCCGUGGAAACUGUUAGACUAGAGUGCUGGAGAGGUAAGUGGAAUGCGUGGUGUAGCGGUGAAAUGCGUAGAUAUUAGGAGGAACUCCAGUUGCGAAGGCAGCUUACCGGAGAGUAACUGACGUUGAGGCUCGAAAGCGUGGGGAGUGAACAGGAUUAGAUACCCGAGUAGUC
rnacentral:rRNA from 1 species